AGUUAAUCAAGGAUAACACAGACUGUGUGGCAUAGCUCUGACGCCGGCUAGAUCAAGACUUGAAGGUGCGAAGGUAGAAGUCCUGAAAACAUGACAUGUUGGGGGUACUGGAAGACUGGAGUUCAGAACCACAGGACCAAGUGAUGGCUACACCUUAAAGCAUGCGGACAAUCGAGAGCAACAAGAGGGCACAAAGUACAAAGGGCUUUUCGAAGGGCACUAUGAAGGUCUAUCCAGCUGUUCAUUUUUGUAACAUGGGGCCUGGCCCCGCCUCCUUACCACCCGGGCCCUGCUUAUGACUCAACGGCCCUGAGGACUGUACUUAUUAUAGAGUUAUAGAGGUGAAUGUGUGUAAAUAGUGUUAAUGUAUUGCUUAAAAUGUGCAUGGACAUACACAAAUGCCAAAGUGUAUGAGACUCAAUCUCGGCCAAACUUAAGCCCUUUAGUGGAGUGGGAAUGGCCAUGUGUGGCAUAUAACCCCACUGAGAAAGCACUUAGUCUACCGCUUUAUAACAAUUCAGUAAUUCCGAUCUGCAAAUUGAAACUCACCUCUGCACUGCUAAGCAAAUAACGCACACUCAGGCAAGUGUUGCGUGUACGUAGAUGGAAUUUUGGACUAUGCAGACUUGUACACAGACACUAUAGUGCAUGCUUACAGUGAUGAUAGCUACUCCAACAAGCAUAUGGAUGGGGAAUGUGCAGCCGCAUAGAUUCAUGCAACUCUGCAUACUGCGGAGCCGAAUAUCACUAUUUACUGUAUUUCCUUGUAUACAAUGGGGCAGCACUUGCAACCAACUUGCCUGUAAUUCAAUUGAAUCAUCCCUAUAAU